GUCCACGCCGUAAACGAUGGAUGCUAGCCGUCGGCAAGCUUGCUUGUCGGUGGCGCAGCUAACGCAUUAAGCAUCCCGCCUGGGAGUACGGCCGCAAGGUUAAACUCAAAGGAAUUGACGGGGCCCGCACAAGCGGUGGAGCAUGUGGUUUAAUUCGACGCAACGCGAAGAACCUUACCAGCCCCUUGACAUGUCCGGACGGUUUCCAGAGAUGGAUUCCUCCUAGCAAUAGGUCGGAACACAGGUGCUGCAUGGCUGUCGU
rnacentral:rRNA from 1 species